CCCAGUGUGAUUCGUCACACUAUCAUUAACUGAAUCCAUAGGUUAAUGAGGCGAACCGGGGGAACUGAAACAUCUAAGUACCCCGAGGAAAAGAAAUCAACCGAGAUUCCCCCAGUAGCGGCGAGCGAACGGGGAGGAGCCCAGAGCCUGAAUCAGCAUGUGUGUUAGUGGAAGCGUCUGGAAAGGCGCGCGAUACAGGGUGACAGCCCCGUACACAAAAGCGCAUGUGCUGUGAGCUCGAUGAGUAGGGCGGGACACGUGGUAUCCUGUCUGAAUAUGGGGGGACCAUCCUCCAAGGCUAAAUACUCCUGACUGACCGAUAGUGAACCAGUACCGUGAGGGAAAGGCGAAAAGAACCCCGGCGAGGGGAGUGAAAAAGAACCUGAAACCGUGUACGUACAAGCAGUGGGAGCACCCUUCGGGGUGUGACUGCGUACCUUUUGUAUAAUGGGUCAGCGACUUAUAUUCUGUAGCAAGGUUAACCGUAUAGGGGAGCCGGAGGGAAACCGAGUCUUAACCGGGCGUUAAGUUGCAGGGUAUAGACCCGAAACCCGGUGAUCUAGCCAUGGGCAGGUUGAAGGUUGGGUAACACUAACUGGAGGACCGAACCGACUAAUGUUGAAAAAUUAGCGGAUGACCUGUGGCUGGGGGUGAAAGGCCAAUCAAACCGGGAGAUAGCUGGUUCUCCCCGAAAGCUAUUUAGGUAGCGCCUCGUGAAUUCAUCUCCGGGGGUAGAGCACUGUUUCGGCUAGGGGGCCAUCCCGGCUUACCAACCCGAUGCAAACUGCGAAUACCGGAGAAUGUUAUCACGGGAGACACACGGCGGGUGCUAACGUCCGUCGUGAAGAGGGAAACAACCCAGACCGCCAGCUAAGGUCCCAAAGUCAUGGUUAAGUGGGAAACGAUGUGGGAAGGCCCAGACAGCCAGGAUGUUGGCUUAGAAGCAGCCAUCAUUUAAAGAAAGCGUAAUAGCUCACUGGUCGAGUCGGCCUGCGCGGAAGAUGUAACGGGGCUAAACCAUGCACCGAAGCUGCGGCAGCGAACGUAUCACCCAAGACAACUUUACGGAGUUGACGAUUGACGGAGCGAAGCGACGUCAAAGCGUUCAUUAAAGUCGAGUUGGCUUAGGGAUACGUUCGUUGGGUAGGGGAGCGUUCUGUAAGCCUGUGAAGGUGUGUCGUGAGGCAUGCUGGAGGUAUCAGAAGUGCGAAUGCUGACAUAAGUAACGAUAAAGCGGGUGAAAAGCCCGCUCGCCGGAAGACCAAGGGUUCCUGUCCAACGUUAAUCGGGGCAGGGUGAGUCGACCCCUAAGGCGAGGCCGAAAGGCGUAGUCGAUGGGAAACGGGUUAAUAUUCCCGUACUUGGUGUUACUGCGAAGGGGGGACGGAGAAGGCUAUGUUGGCCGGGCGACGGUUGUCCCGGUUUAAGCGUGUAGGUGUGUGUUCCAGGUAAAUCCGGUUCACUUUAACACUGAGGCGUGACGACGAGGCACUACGGUGCUGAAGCAACAAAUGCCCUGCUUCCAGGAAAA
rnacentral:rRNA from 1 species